UACGUAGGUGGCAAGCGUUGUCCGGAUUUACUGGGCGUAAAGAGCGCGCAGGCGGUCGUUCAAGUCGCGUGUGAAAGCCCCCGGCUCAACUGGGGAGGGUCACGCGAUACUGAUCGACUCGAAGGCAGGAGAGGGUAGUGGAAUUCCCGGUGUAGUGGUGAAAUGCGUAGAUAUCGGGAGGAACACCAGUGGCGAAGGCGACUUCCUGGCCUGUUUCUUGACGCUGAGGCGCGAAAGCUAGGGGAGCAAACGGG
rnacentral:rRNA from 1 species